GUUCUGUUCAAGGUGUACUGGAAAAUGCAAUUUCUUCCUCCUUCACAGAAUUUCCCGUUGUUGCAGGAGAUGAAGGAAUGGCAGCAGCUGCAUUUUCCAGUACACCUUGAACAGAACUUGCACCUGGAAGAAUUGAAGAGGCUGAUACACUAGAUAAUGUAUGAGCUGGAACACCGACAGAAACAGGAGUUGCAUGAUUCACAGUUGGUAUUGAAGCUGCAGAAGAACCAAUCAUGCUACUCUUGGCAGGUGGAGUUCUUGCAACAAUGUCAGGAUUACUAUCCUGUGAAGCUGUAUCAUCAGCUUGCUCCUGAA
rnacentral:misc_RNA from 1 species